rnacentral:tRNA from 1 species
GUAACAGUAGCUUAACAUAGAGCAUUGGUCUUGUAAAUCAAAAGUGAAUUAUUAUUAUUCCUGUUACU